rnacentral:lncRNA from 1 species
UGUAAUAACUCCCACGCCAUUUUAGUUUCAUUAUAUAAACAUCACCGGUGUCGUCAUCUUGAGCAUUGAUGGGUACUUGCUCUCGGUUGAGUAAAUGUUCACACUCGGAUUGUGUCAAAUGCACAAGGAUGUAAGUCUCGACAGGCUGGCGGGGUAGAGUGAGAAAGGGGUGAGUAAUGUCGACAUCCGAAAGUGAAAAUUACCUAAAAUUUGUGUGGUACAGAAAAACCCUAGAGAGAGAAAGGAUACAUAGUUGAGAAAUUGGGGGGAAUUGUUUGUAGGUGUAAAGGUAUAGAAAGAAGAUGAUAACUGUUAAUGGUGAUUAGAGG